GAAAAAAGUAUCAUUUUACAAAAAUUUGAUAAGAUGACUUGUAAAAUUUGGUUAAAUUACCUUACUUCUGUAACAAAGUAAUUUUACUUUAUUUUAAAUCAAGUAAUCAUAGAAUACAUCUCAAUUAAAUAAUGCUAUAACAACUACUUCAAUGCAUAGUUACCAUAGAUUCAAGGCUCACAAGGCUUCAACCCUAACGCCUCUAAAGGAGAAAGGCAGGCAAUAUUCACCAGCUCCUCGCCUUAUGCGCCUAGGCAUGUGCCUUGUUCUAGGUGCAAGGCUCUUGAAAGGCACACCUCUAUUUCACCUUUGGCGAGCAUUUCCAUUUACAAAAAGCACUACCAUUCGAUUCGAAAUUUGUCAAUCUACUAAAAUCCAAUAUUGACACAUUAGGAAGCUUUUGAAAUUAUUAUUGGUGAUAAUUGGUCGCCAAAAUCUCAUCAAACCACCAC
rnacentral:misc_RNA from 1 species